AUACGUACUGUGCGAACGUUAUUCGGAAUCACUGGGCUUAAAGGGUGCGUAGGCGGUCGUUUAAGUAGGGUGUGAAAUCCCCCGGCUCAACCGGGGAACUGCGCUCUAAACUGGGCGACUCGAGUAAGAUAGGGGUGUGCGGAACUUCCGGUGGAGCGGUGAAAUGUGUUGAUAUCGGAAGGAACACCAGUAGCGAAGGCGGCACACUGGGUCUUAACUGACGCUGAGGCACGAAAGCUAGGGUAGCGAACGGGAUUAGAAACCCCGGUAGUCC
rnacentral:rRNA from 1 species